CGAAAGCCUGACGGAGCAACGCCGCGUGAGGGAUGAAGGCCUCUGGGCUGUAAACCUCUUUUCUCAAGGAAGAAGAACUGACGGUACUUGAGGAAUAAGCCACGGCUAAUUCCGUGCCAGCAGCCGCGGUAAUACGGGAGUGGCAAGCGUUAUCCGGAAUUAUUGGGCGUAAAGCGUCCGCAGGCGGCCUCGUAAGUCUGUCGUUAAAGCGUGGAGCUUAACUCCAUUUCAGCGAUGGAAACUGUGAGGCUUGAGUGUGGUAGGGGCAGAGGGAAUUCCCGGUGUAGCGGUGAAAUGCGUAGAUAUCGGGAAGAACACCAGUGGCGAAGGCGCUCUGCUGGGCCAUAACUGACGCUCAUGGACGAAAGCCGGGGGAGCG
rnacentral:rRNA from 1 species